rnacentral:lncRNA from 1 species
UUUUUUUUUUUUUGUUAAAAAAAGUGAGAGGUCAAAUUUGCAAUUUCAUCUUUCUUUUAUCCCCUUGGUUAUUUCAUCUAUCCCUUUUAAAGGAAUUUUCUGAUAAUAGCUUCAUUUAAUAAUAUAUAUAAAUUCGUGGUAUUGGAUAAAAAAAAAAGGAUAUUUUUUUGUAAUAAUUAAAUUAUAAUUUUAUUUAUUGCAAUGUUAAAACCCAAAAAGGAGAAUCCUUUUAUGGAUUGAUGGAUUAAAAAGGAUAAAAAAAUCCAAAUUUGUAAAAUUAACAUAUUCCAUUUUUGAAUUUGAAAAGUAAUUCAUUUUUUACAUAAAUGCCCUUCAACAUUUUCAUUAUUUACAUAUAUAUUUUAAAAGAAAAUAUUAUUUUUGCAAGAAAAUAUUAUUUUUGUAAGAAAAAAUAAGGGUAUUCUUGUCCAAAAUGGGUUUUUUCUUUUUUUCUUUUUUUUGUUAAAAAAAGUAAGAGGUCAAAUUUACAAUUUCCUCUUUCUUUUAUCCCUUUUAAUUGGUUAUUUCAUCUAUCCCUUUUUAGAGGAAUUUUCUAAUAAUAGCUUCAUUUAAUAAUAUAUAUAUAAAUUUGUGGUAUCGGAUUAAAAAAAUGAUAUUUUUUGUAAUAAUUAAAUUAUAAUUUUAUUUAUUGCAAUGUUAAAACCAAAAAGGAGAAUCUUUUUAUGGAUCGAUUGAUUAAAAAGAAUGAAAGAAUCCAAAUUUGUAAAAUCAACAUCUUCCAUUUUUGAAUUUGAAAAGUAACUCAUUUUUUACAUAAAUACCCUUCAACAUUUUCAUUAUUUACAUAUAUAUAUUUUAAAAGAAAAUAUUAUUUUUGCAAGAAAAUAUUAUUUUUGCAAGAAAAUAUUAUUUUUGUAAGAAAAAAUAAGGGUAGUCUUGUUCAAAAUGGGUUUUUUCUUUUUUUUCUUUUUUUGUUAAAAAAAAUAAGAGGUCAAAUUUGCAAUUUCAUCUUUCUUUUAUCCCUUUUAAUUGGUUAUUUCAUUUAUCCCUUUUUAGAGGAAUUUUCUGAUAAUAGCUUCAUUUAAUAAUAUAUAUAUAUAUAUAUAUAAAUUUGUGGUAUCGGAUAAAAAAAAUGAUAUUUUUUUUAAUAAUUAAAUUAUAAUUUUAUUUAUUGCAAUGUUAAAACCAAAAAGGAGAAUCUUUUUGUGGAUUGAUUGAUUAAAAAGAAUGAAAGAAUCCAAAUUUGUAAAAUCAGCAUCUUCCAUUUUUGAAUUUGAAAAGUAACUCAUUUUUUACAUAAAUACCCUUCAACAUUUUCAUUAUUUACAUAUAUAUUUUAAAAGGAAAUAUUAUUUUUGCAAGAAAAUAUUAUUUUUGCAAGAAAAUAUUAUUUUUGUAAGAAAAAAUAAGGGUAGUCUUGUCCAAAAUGGGUUUUUUCUUUUUUUUUCUUUUUUUGUUAAAAAAAAUAAGAGGUCAAAUUUGCAAUUUCAUCUUUCUUUUAUCCCUUUUAAUUGGUUAUUUCAUUUAUCCCUUUUUAGAGGAAUUUUCUGAUAAUAGCUUCAUUUAAUAAUAUAUAUAUAUAUAUAUAUAAAUUUGUGGUAUCGGAUAAAAAAAUGAUUUUUUUUUAAUAAUUAAAUUAUAAUUUUAUUUAUUGCAAUGUUAAAACCAAAAAGGAGAAUCUUUUUAUGGAUUGAUUGAUUAAAAAGAAUGAAAGAAUCCAAAUUUGUAAAAUCAGCAUCUUCCAUUUUUGAAUUUGAAAAGUAACUCAUUUUUUACAUAAAUACCCUUCAACAUUUUCAUUAUUUACAUAUAUAUUUUAAAAGAAAAUAUUAUUUUUGUAAGAAAAAAUAAGGGUAUUCUUGCCCAAAAUGGUUUUUUUUUCUUUUUUUGUUAAAAAAAGUGAGAGGUCAAAUUUGAAAUUUCAUGUUUCUUUUAUCCAUUUUAAUUGGUUAUUUCAUCUAUCCCUUUGAGAGGAAUUUUCUGAUAAUAGCUUUAUUUAAUAAUAUAUAUAAAAAUUCCUGGUAUUGGAUAAAAAAAGGAUAUUUUUUGUAAUAAUUAAAUUAUAAUUUUAUUUAUUGUAAUGUUAAAGCCAAAAAUGAGAAUCUUUUUAUUGAGUGAUUGAUUAAAAAUGAUGAAAAAAUCCAAAUUUGUAAAAUUAAAAUCUUCCCUUUUUGAAUUUGAAGAAUAACUCAUUUUUUUACAUAAAUACCCUUCAACAUUUUCAUUAUUUACAUAUAUAUUUUAAAAGAAAAUAUUAUGUUUGCAAGAAAAUAUUAUUUUUGUAAGAAAAAAUAAGGGAAUUCUUGUCUCAAAUGGGUUUUUUCUUUUUUUCUUUUUUGUUAAAAAAAGUAAGGGGUCAAAUUUGCAAUGUCAUCUUUCUUUUAUCCCUCUUAAAUGGUUAUUUUAUCUAUUAUCUAUGGGGGAGCUAUGUUUGAUUCCCAAAAAAUGUGAGGAAAAAAAAAGAGAGAAAAAUUAGAAUAAAAUAAAAAAUAGAUUUAAAAUCAAUAAAUUAUUUUAUAUGUUACUUCAAACUUAUUUCACUUGUCUUUUUUCUCUUUUAUAUAAAAAUUAAAUAAUUUAAAAUAUAUAAAUUUCUAAUUAAUUUGAUUUGAUUUGAUGUUUCUUUCAGAUAUUUUCAUGUUGAAAUCAAAUAUGAGAAAAUCAUUUUUUUAAUAUUUUUUUAUUUCCUUACUAUUUUACGGGAACCAAACAUAGUCAUAUAUUAAGAUUUUUAUUAUAAAUUAGUAAUAAUAAUAAUAAUAUGAUCAAUAAAAACAUGAAAAUGAAUUUGAUCCUUUUAAAAAAAAUUAUAUAUAAAAUGUUUAUAAAUAAGAAUUUUUAGAUAAAGUAUUUUUUUCAUAUUUAAUUAUUUAAUUAAAGGUUUAAUACUUGGUUUUCAUUAAUUAUUUUCUUGAAAAAAAAAACCCUUAUCUUAUUUAAAGUUCCUAUAAUUUCGUCAACCCUUAAGAGACUUUAUGUAUUUUUCCUACUUUAACCAAAUUACAAAAGUAGGUUGAAUGAGAAAAUUCAAAGUCCUCCCUAUUAGAAAUUUGAAAAUUUUAGCCAUUUGAUUGGAAUUCUAAUAUAGUUUGAUUUUUCACUCGUAGAAAAUAUUAAUUUGACUUAGGUUUUUUAUGUUAUUUGGAAUUUUUAAUCUAAUUAUGAAUUAAAAUUAAAAUAUAUUUAAUUUAUUAUAAAUAUAGGUAUGUUAUUACCUUGAUUAAUUUUUUUAGGUAAAAUUUAUGCUCAUUGUAGAAGUGUGUUGUUUAUAUGGAAGUAAGCUUAUCAUAGAAGAUGUUGGACCACAAGUGCAACCAAGAAGCUUAGAGCUAGAAUAUAAGGGAAUACGUAGAAUAUUAAGAAAACUACAAAUUAGUUAGUAAUAUCAUUUAUGAGGUCUAAUGAAUAAUUGUUUCAACAAAGUAUCAUAUUUGGAAGAAGUACAAGCACUAUCAAAUAAGCAAAAGAAAUCAAGAAAAGUGUGUGUUUAUACACUUAUAUGAAAAUAAUUAUAAAAUAAGAAUUAUAAGUUUAUAAAAUACAAAUUUCAAACACCUAUUUAAAAAUAAUUAGCAUUUUAUACUUUUUUUGGUCAAAUAUACUACUUUUGGUCAUUUAGGUACUACCUUUUAAUGAUAUAGGUACUAUCUGUGACCAUUUUAGAUACUACUUUAAUUGGUAAGUAUAUGAAAUUUGAAUUAUUUUUAGAGGGUUCUUAUUUUAUAUGAAUGUAUAGAAACUCACUUUCUAUAUAUAUUAUAUUGAAAUAUUGAAUUUGUUAAUGUUAACAUUAUUAACAUUAACAAAAAAAAAAAUUCCAUUUUUUUUUUCAUUCAAGAACUUUGAUCCCUCCCCCGAAUUCUUUCUGGUUGUGAGACACAUUCAAAUUCAAUAUAAAUCCUCAACAUGAAAAUAAAGAAAACAAAAAAAAUUAGAGGGAGGGGUCAUUUCAUUUUUGGAUCUGGGACGAAUAGGUUCAAGAGAUGAGAGAAUUAAGUAUACCUACCAGAAAGACUAAUCCAAUCCAUAAUGAUGUAUCGGAAAAUACAAUAUUUUUGUUACUUGACCAACCAUCAGGAGAAGCAAAUA